GACGAACGCUGGCGGCGUGCCUAAUACAUGCAAGUUGAGCGCUGAAGGUUGGUACUUGUACCAACUGGAUGAGCAGCGAACGGGUGAGUAACGCGUGGGGAAUCUGCCUUUGAGCGGGGGACAACAUUUGGAAACGAAUGCUAAUACCGCAUAAAAACUUUAAACACAAGUUUUAUGUUUGAAAGAUGCAAUUGCAUCACUCAAAGAUGAUCCCGCGUUGUAUUAGCUAGUUGGUGAGGUAAAGGCUCACCAAGGCGAUGAUACAUAGCCGACCUGAGAGGGUGAUCGGCCACAUUGGGACUGAGACACGGCCCAAACUCCUACGGGAGGCAGCAGUAGGGAAUCUUCGGCAAUGGACGAAAGUCUGACCGAGCAACGCCGCGUGAGUGAAGAAGGUUUUCGGAUCGUAAAACUCUGUUGGUAGAGAAGAACGUCGGUGAGAGUGGAAAGCUCAUCAAGUGACGGUAACUACCCAGAAAGGGACGGCUAACUACGUG
rnacentral:rRNA from 1 species